CUGGCGCUGGGUAGGCAAAGCCGGGAGAAACUGCUGAGAUGAGACUCCUCUCGUGUUGUAUUUGAAGCCCAGUUUGGGGGCGCCUGGGUGACUCCGUUGGUUGGACAGCUGUCUUCGGCUCAGAGUCUCAGAUGGAAGGACACCUUUCAGUGGCCCUGAGCUCUGGGGUCCCCACCACCACCAAGACAUCUUCAGACGGGGGAAGCCGGUCUUGGCAACGGGCUGCAAGCUUUCUACAAGAAACUCACGUUCCUCUGUGGCUGAUUUCCACUCUGCUCCCCUGAAAACCUGCAAACAAGAGCCCGCACGUCAUCCUCAAGGACAGCUUUUGCCGAGAACGUGGCCUGAAGAGCAUCCAGCGAGGACCUGGGAUGUGCGCACGGUUGGCCCUGCCCCGUUGUCCUUUGCUUUCCGGGGCAGCCUGAGGUGGCCCAGCGCUGCCACCCGUGGGGGCUUAUCCCUGCAUCCCAGCACCCCAGCACCAGCAGGGCUGGGAGGGGGCUGGGAGGCCCCCGCCUCAUUUUAAAGAAAAUAUGGGAAAGCAGGUGUCACUGCUGAAAAAAAAAAUGGAGACACUUGCCCUCCCUUCGGUACCUCAAAGUUCUAACUGAAUUCCUCUUCCUCUCUACACCCCCACCAGAAAAGUCCCGCCUGCUGUUAUUUGCCCCAAGGCCCAUGUUUGUCCAACAGGCAAACUGCAUUUGGGAAGUAAUGUAAGCUUUCACAUUUGAGGUUAAUCAAGUGCAACAAGGAUGCCUGUUCAAAUCCCAUCAUCCUCUCCCCCCACCCCGCCACCCUGGAGAGUCUGAAUGAGGGCAGUGGGUCGAUAGAAUCCCACCCAAAGUGAAGAAACGGGACGGUGUGUGUGUAACUCGCAGUGGCCUGGUCAUCAGUAAAGCCAUGGUGACCAUGGGAAAUUGCAAGAAGCUGUAAACAGCACGGAGCCCCCCCCCCGAUGGCUUUUGAGGGCCCCCCAGGGAACCCAGUUUGGGAACCGUGGGGCUAAGCCAACUAGGAUGGAGGCGCAACUCUUUGACAAUCCCACAGCCACUCCCACUUCCCCAUGGAGGGAGUCCUCACGCAGCAGGGUGCUCUGGAAAGCUAUUGAGACAUCGUGACUCUGCUGGUUUUUGCCCGUGUGACCUGGGGUAGAUGGCUUUCCCUCUCUGAGUUUCUGGGUCUCACUGCCUCCCUCCUGGGUUGUGAGUGCUCCGUAAGGCCUGGGUGUCUUUACUGUUGCCAUAACCUCUUGUUCAGGUCUCCUGACUUCCCACCCCUCAUGCCCUGACCGUGUCACUGGAUAUCUGUGACGAAAGCAGGUGCAGAGGGCUAGACGGCACCUGGAGCCCUUCUGAGAAGCCAUCUGUGAUGGGAUAGAGAGCCUGGAAGGGGAGGGAGGAGCCCAGGAGCGGGCAGGCUGGGGGCACCUGGAGAUAGUAGUUCUGGGGUGCAUCUGAGCUCUCCUCAACUUUAAUAUGCCCCAGAUCACCUGGGUAUCUUGUCCGAAUGCAGAUCCGGACGCAGCAGGCCUGGGCAGGGGCUCCCAGGUGAGGCAGCUGCUGGGGCUUCACUCUAACCCAAGGAGGAGGCCAGGCCACCGGUAUCCGGGAGAGAUGGCUCCAGAAAGGCCUGAGAGCCCCAGGACGUCCAUGCCUGGAAAGACGAUGCAACAUGAGGGUAAAAUUAUGUUUUCAACAAAAGAAAAGCCCUCUUCCUCCUAACAUGCAGAAAGAUCUCUCUUCCCACCCCCACGCAGCCCCAGGGGCCCGAAAGAAUGUGGUUUUCUCAGCACAGCUUCCCUCACUGAAGGGGGUGGAUUCGCUCUUAAAAAGUUGCCUGUAAAAUGAAUU